rnacentral:rRNA from 1 species
UGGGUUUGAACUUCAGUGGCAAGGCUCAGAGAUGAGUCCCUCCCUUCGGGGAUCGCUGGAGAGGUGCUGCAUGGCUGUCGUCAGCUCGUGUCGUGAGAUGUUGGGUUAAGUCCCGCAACGAGCGCAACCCUUGUCCAUAGUUACUAACGGGUCAUGCCGAGAACUCUAUGGAGACUGCCGGUGAUAAACCGGAGGAAGGUGGGGAUGACGUCAAGUCCUCAUGGCCUUUAUGUCCAGGGCUACACACGUGCUACAAUGGACGGCACAAAGAGUCGCAAAACCGCGAGGUUGAGCUAAUCUCAAAAAACCGUUCUCAGUUCGGAUUGCAGUCUGCAACUCGACUGCAUGAAGCUGGAAUCGCUAGUAAUCGCGGAUCAGCACGCCGCGGUGAAUACGUUCCCGGGCC